UUUUGUAAGUAGGAUAUUCAUUCUAGAAAAAUAAAGUCCAUUGGCAGCCUCAGCUCCGUAGCACCGAGUUGCAGUUCUACUUCAACUCUCCAUGAAUCAUCAUGAGUCAAAAUGGUGUCUACUCAGGAGAGAGAAGCUGGGAGCAUUGAAUAAGUUGUUAACGCAACAAAGGACGUCAUUUAAGAAUAAGUUGCGCAACCUCUUUCCAGAGAUGUACUACGAUUGUGAUUUGAAGUGAAGACCAAUUAUAAAACCAAAAUGGCGGAAAACAUUUGUGGAGGAGAGGAGGUUGUUGGUCAAUAUUGGAUGUUUGUUUGUUAUUUAAUAUGUAGGGCAUAGGUUUUGUAGUGAGUAUAUGGAGUAGUCCAGGAAGAUAAGAAGUGU
rnacentral:lncRNA from 1 species